AACACGAAGAAAGGCAAGAAUGCAACAGCAAUCAUUCUGAAUAAGGCCAUUUGGAAGGGAGUGAAUCUUUGCAUUAAGGUGUUCGAGCCCUUGGUGAAGGUGCUACCCUUGGUUGAUGGUGAUGUGUGGCCGCCCAUGGGCUUUGUGUAUGGAGAGAUUGUGAAGUCAAAGAAGGAGACAAAAGAGGCUUUUGGCAAUGUCGAGCGUCAUUACAAAGAUGCGCUAGCCAUUGUUUACAAGAGUAUGAAAGAUAGGAUUGAUGCCCCACUGCAUUUGACUGCAUAUUUGCUGAAUCCACACUACAGCUAUGCAGAUGAGAGCAUAUUUGAUACCACAAAAAUGGAUUGUGCAGAAUGUGGAGACAUUCUAUAA
rnacentral:rRNA from 1 species